UACGGAGGGUGCAAGCGUUAUCCGGAUUUAUUGGGUUUAAAGGGUCCGUAGGCGGAUCAGUAAGUCAGUGGUGAAAUCUCAUAGCUUAACUAUGAAACUGCCAUUGAUACUGCUGGUCUUGAGUGUAGUUGAAGUAGCUGGAAUAAGUAGUGUAGCGGUGAAAUGCAUAGAUAUUACUUAGAACACCAAUUGCGAAGGCAGGUUACUAAGUUACAACUGACGCUGAUGGACGAAAGCGUGGGGAGCGAACAGG
rnacentral:rRNA from 1 species